rnacentral:rRNA from 1 species
UAGAGUUUGAUCCUGGCUCAGGAUGAACGCUAGCGGCAGGCUUAACACAUGCAAGUCGAGGGGUAACAGGGAAUAGUUUACUAUUUUGCUGACGACCGGCGCACGGGUGAGUAACGCGUAUACAAUUUGCCUUUUACAGGAGGAUAGCCCAGAGAAAUUUGGAUUAAUACUCCAUGGUAUUACGAGAUCGCAUGGUUUUGUAAUUAAAGUUUCGGCGGUAGAAGAUGAGUAUGCGUCCUAUUAGCUAGUUGGUAAGGUAACGGCUUACCAAGGCGACGAUAGGUAGGGGUCCUGAGAGGGAGAUCCCCCACACUGGUACUGAGACACGGACCAGACUCCUACGGGAGGCAGCAGUGAGGAAUAUUGGUCAAUGGAGGCAACUCUGAACCAGCCAUGCCGCGUGCAGGAAGACUGCCCUAUGGGUUGUAAACUGCUUUUAUACAGGAAGAAACUUACCCACGUGUGGGUAACUGACGGUACUGUACGAAUAAGGACCGGCUAACUCCGUGCCAGCAGCCGCGGUAAUACGGAGGGUC